UUUCGUUGUGUGCAGUGGUGUGCUGUGUCACAAGGACAAGUAGUCAUUCACAUUCAUUCAUUCACAAGGGGAGAUGCUGAGAGAUGCUAAGAUGCAUGAUCCGAUCAGUGAGGAACAGAAGAACAUGCUCAGUGCUCUAGCUCAGAGGUGUUAUACUCAUUUUGACCAGGGGCCUUGAGGGGCCAUUUUAAAUGGAAGACUGUAUAGAUCAGGGGUCCCCAACACCCGGUCUGUGGACUAGUACCAGGCCACAGUGAGACACACUGAAAAAAUGCACAACUUUUAAUAGUUUACUUCAUUCAAAUACAAUCCUGUCAUAUCCAUUUACUUUCAUUAUUUAAAGAUAUCCUGGCAAUAUUUUUAAAAAGUGUCAUUCAGACUCUGAUACAAACAGAAUAGUCUAGUUGAUGUUUUCUUUUGAAAAUUUAAUGAUCCUUCAAUGCUCAGCAUCUUGCUACCGGUCUGCAGUAGCGGAUGGUACUGGCUGACCAGUCCUUGGAACUAAAAAGGUCAGGCACCGCUGGUAUAGCUGAAACUAUUCCAUAACAGACUAAUACAUGUUUCUGCAAUUACUUAUUAUUUGAUUGAUUAUAAAAACUUUUAAUUUCUUAGAUUAAGAAACUCUGCUGCAUGGACUUUACUAAAUUCUUUUUAAGCUCCUGCUGGCCACAGAAAAUGGCUUGGAGGGCCAAGAGUUUGACACCUUUGCUCUAGGUAAACAAAGCUACCAGCAAUGUCUUUUAGUUUAUAUUUUACUGUAUUUUUACUGUUUAUUUUUUUUAGGUUAAAGCCACACACCUGUCUAUAUAAGACCUUACAGCUCACAGUGUAUGGUGUGCUGGAGAAAUAUGGUAAAACAAUAUGUAAGGGCCAAUUCAGAAUAACAGGCAAAAACAGGCCAGGCUGACGUGGGAAUAACAGGAAGACCCAGGAAUAACAGGAAGACUGGAGAUAGGCACAGGCAAGAACAGGUCAAGAUGACCUGGGUAAAUGAACAUGUUUAUCCGAUUACUAGCCAAAUGUUAUGUAACACCACGUUUGUCUAUGUCUAUAAGAAGAAUCAGCAUGUAUCAGAAGGUGGGAUUUGUUGGUGAAUGUUCAGAUGAGAUUCGUUGUUGGACCUGCCAUGGUCAGAAACCUUUGAUACAAUAAAUCCCCAGAGAUGGAGAAGUGUGUCCUGAUCUGCCUCAUUUGUAGACAUCUCUUUCUACAAUAUAAUUGGUGACGCCGACGUGAUUGCUUGGGCCUGCAGGACCAGGGCGGCUAUGUUCCCUCACUGGACCAGCUGUGCAAAGUGCGCAACAGAUAUAGGCAUUGUUUCCUUGUCCAGGAGUGAAGACGCAACCAUCGCUCAGAGUCACUGGAGGAAAUGGACUGCCACUGGCAAAGAGACAUCGACCCUGUGGGGCGCAGAACACAAAGAGGAAAGACA